rnacentral:rRNA from 1 species
UACAGAGGUCUCAAGCGUUGUUCGGAUUCAUUGGGCGUAAAGGGUGCGUAGGUGGCGGGGCAAGUCUGGUGUGAAAUCCCGGGGCUCAACCCUGGAACUGCACUGGAUACUGCUUUGCUAGAGUACUGGAGAGGGAACUGGAAUUUACGGUGUAGCAGUGAAAUGCGUAGAUAUCGUAAGGAAGACCAGUGGCGAAGGCGAAGUUCCUGGACAGUUACUGACCACUGAGGCACGAAGGCCAGGGGAGCAAAG